UAAAGAAGCAGUGGUGUUUAUAUACACACACACACACACACACAUAUGUGUGUGUGUGUGUGUGUGUGUGUAAUGGAAUAUUA
rnacentral:miRNA from 1 species